rnacentral:SRP_RNA from 2 species
GGCCGGACCCCGUGCGUUGUCAAAAGUGCCAACCGAGUCAGGUGGGGAACCAAGCAGCUCUACGCGAUUUUUUGACAGGCCACGAGUAAUCUGACCCGG